GGGGGCGUAAAGGUUUCGACGGGGAUUUUGCAUCAUGAUUAGCGAGCAGCGGUGCGGUACCGCUUUAAUCCGCCGCAAUUUUAUAAAUUAAACAACAACAAUAAAGUUGCUUUAGCAGCCUAAGUGCUGCUCGUUCCCACCGGGAGGACCACGGCCCGGUGCGGGGCGUCAAACAGUGGUGCACGUGCGUUUGAGAGAACACUGUAUCAAACCAUGAAUCAAAGUGUUACCGCAGCCACAAGCCCGUUAACCGGCGUGUGAUUGCGGGAAAUUUAAUCGGUUAACUGCGCUCGGAGAAGGUCAUGAGAAUAGAUUUUCGGACGGGAGUUCGACUCUCCCCGCCUCCACCA
rnacentral:tmRNA from 1 species